rnacentral:misc_RNA from 1 species
AUGGGUCAACGCCUCCGGGCACAACCCCCACCCUUUGUAACCGCGGCCCGGAUUCGGCGCCUGGCGGGGAGCCCCCUCUGCUCGCGGAGGGCCCCGCCUGCCGGAAUUAGCCAACCCUGCCUGGAAAAUUGAAGUCUGAGAACAAGUUAAAUUAAACA